AUGCUCACGUCUUCAUCUCGUCGAGCUCCUUCUGAUGGUAACAUUUUCAUAAGGUGUUCACACUGUGAAAAUGACCAUGAUGCCCUUGCUUCUAAUCAGCCCCCUUCGAGAGAGAAACGUCCGGUGUUUCAUUUCCGCGGCUUCACCGCACUUCUUCCCGGAGUCUCCGUCACCCCCAGUUUGCAGGUCGUGCCUGGAUUGCUUGCUUUUUUGGUGUGGUUCCUGUGUUCACGAGCUAGGAUAAACAUUCCAGCCAGAGUCCCUGCGGAUUGGAGUCCAUCAUCUCCGUUCGUUGUUCCGCUGCCAAUAGUUGUUCCGCUUCCAGUAGUUGUUCGGCUGCCUCGAGUUGUUAUGCUACUUGCAUAG
rnacentral:rRNA from 1 species